AUUUUUUUUGUAUUCUUAUUAGUUAAACUAAAGGGAAGAUGGAGAUGAAGAUGACAUUUAGCAAACUGUAACUAUUUUGUAACUGUGUGAACAUUGGGAAUUUACUAAUGAUAUAACAUUCUAAACCUUCCCGAUAUUAUGCGCGGACAACGAAAUAGAUUUCACAUUGUUUAUCUUUAUGUGAGCAGACAGAACAGAAGAUAAUGAUUUGAUUUUCUCCAUUAUCCAACAUUAGCUUCUCUUUGGUUUCCCUUGAUUUGUUACUCCCAUAUACGAAAACGAUUACUAUUCAAGUUUUUAGUAUCGGAGUAGAAUUUGAGAAUUUGAGAGGUAUUUAUACAACAGCAGUUGCCUCAUAGGAGAUAACAACGUAUCGGAGUAAAUAUAGAGAAACAGAAGAUUGACAUAUAUCCUAAAUCUAAUACUAUUUAACCUUCUAUAAAGUUAUUUUCAUGAAUACACCAUAUGGCCAACACGAACACAUAUUCAGAAAUCACAUUGAGCAAAAUCGUCAAUCCACGCAAACCCACACGAAAGACAUGUCGCAACAAUCAGCCAAUGUCACGUGGUCACAAACCAAAUUAAACCGAACCAAACCCUCUUUAACCGGAACUCCCACUCUUGCAAUAAAAUAACAAAACCAAUGAACCAAAAUCGCCGCCGAAAGGGCA
rnacentral:sRNA from 1 species